GCCUGCUUAGCUCAGUGGUAGAGCGCGUCACUUGUAAGUCACGUGGUUUACCACAUGAUCUGCAUGACGAGGUCAGUCGUUCAAACCGGCUAGUUGGCA